rnacentral:lncRNA from 1 species
CUUAUCUCUCCAAGCAUCUAGUGGAGAGACAGAGAGACACAGGAAAAUGGCAGGCAACGCCACCGGCCGCGGCUGCAACGCCGCCGUUAUCUCACUGUCAGUAUCAACACCACCGUCCCAAAAGUUCCCCAUAAUACCUAAACAACUUGUAUACACUAAUAAGUGCUCAACUUUCUCUAUUAGAAUUGGCCGUGCUCAAAUUUCUUCACCAACUCCGAUUCACAACCCACGUUCUUCUUCAUCUUCAUCUCCUGUUGCCGUAGAAGAAGAGAAAACUGGGUCUCCUCCUACCGACGAUAAUCUUCCUUUCCAAUCAGAAUCCAAACUCGAUUCUGAUUCUCUCCCUUCUCCCAGGUGUGUGGAAUUGAAUUCUGAAACCUGUUUCGUGUAGCUUGUUAUUUAUAUGAUUCUCAUUUCAAUAAUUAUUCACUGUAUUCUUUUGUAAGCACAAACAAAUUUAUGUUAAUGUUACAAGCAAUUUGGGUGGAAGAACUAACUAGUUGUUAAAACUCGAGGCAACUCGAUAUGCCCAACGCACGCUUUCUGGUUGUUAAAAAUCACUACUCUAACUAGCAUUCUACCGGUCUUCCAGUCCGCUAUCCACGUGAAGGUCCUUCACAAUGGGUGCCUAUUGUGAUACAAAAAAUGCAAUUACUUUUAUUAGAACUCACACUUUAAAUCGGUUUGUAAACUCCGGUUUCAAAGCAGCUCUUGAUCCCUGGAUCUGAGCAGGAUCUCUUUAUCAUCCGGGGUCAAUUUUGAAUCGCUCGCGAGAUAAUCUUACCGCAAUUGGUAAAUGUUGAUAAAUAAACAUCUGUCUCUCAGUAAUUCUUUUCUCCGCUAAUCACCCCUUCCCAACUAGCCUGCCUUAUCAAUCUUGUAAGAUUGGCUAAUUCAGAGGAGUUAAUCUGGUCAGAAGUUGUCGGAACAAUGGAAACGGUGACCAGCAUGACUUAUGGACUAAAAGUUAUGCCUUUCACGAGCAACGUAGUAUUCAAGUUGUUGUACGACACAAAGAUUACUUCUGCAAUAUUUUCUUUCCAUGUGGGUAGAUUAUUAGCUGUUUUUUAAUACAAGUACUUUGAUGUACUUAUAUUGUGUUUCCUUUGGCUCCCUUUGCUUUUUUCUUGUCCUAGAAAUGUUUUAACGACGUGAAUCUGUUCACUGAAUGAAAUCAUAUCCCUGUUAGAUUGUGUUUUUUGGUUAAAUAGUAGUACUAGUACCCUUUUCUAUCCUUGAAUUGAUUGAGCGCGUAGGUUUACGAUUUUAAUACUAUAAACAGCACUGUUCUAAUGAGAACUCUUUUUGUAGUUUGCAGUAGAUACUUAUCCCUUUUUAUCUGUUAAUUAAAUCUAAAUAAUUCAUUAAUACCUGCAACAUAUACCCAAAUGUUUGCCUUAAAACUAUUAACUGGCACUUAGGACUAUCAUGCAAUUGAGAUCCUUUAUGUGAAGUACUUUAAAUGCCUUCUCUUUUAUUCUUUCCCAUUGUUUAUAUCAUGAGUUAUGACCUUAUUGGCUACUGUGAAAUUCAGACUAAGGGUUGCUUAAAAAAUAAAAAUAGUUCUUACUUUUUGGCAAGUAAGAGCUGCUGGAAGUCUUCAAAAAGUAACUUUUAAAAUGCUUAAACAUAUUUGGUAAAUAAAAAGCUACUUAAAAGUAACAUCUAAGCUUAGCCAAACAUGCUUGUAAUCCAGUGUUAACACUAGGAUCUUUUCAUAUAGGUAAAUCAGUGUGAAUGUGUUGCUCCAGCUAUAAUGAAAUCCCAGCUAUUUCAUGCAUGAUACUAGAUGAAAAAGUUGUUAACUUUUGAGAUAGAGUUCAAAGAAUACUUGCCAAAAUAGAGAAGGAAAUCACCGUUUCAGGUAGGAAUUAAAGAAGGUUUAUUACCCGAACGGCUGGCUUGUUGAGUGAUUCCAAUUUACUUUGUUGAAAGUUCUUGUUAUUUUAAAAUAUAAAUUACUGGCAUUUGAUUUGAGAUAAUAAUACUAUCUUAUCUGCAUAUGUAAUUUUCAACAGGGGCUGUAAGGCAUGUGGAAGAGAGGAGAUUGAGAGGGGCUGUAAUGGUGAGGGAAGGAUACAGGGUGGGAUUGCAACAGUUCCAGGCUUUGGUUGGUGGCCAAUAAAGGCUUAUAGGCCUUGUCCGGCAUUUGUGGCUUCCGGUGGGAGGUACAGACGAAUUGGACAAAGCAUGGAUGAGGUUACCUCGGGGAGAAGUGGGAGAGGCGCAUCCAAGAAAACCAGUGAUGCGGCUGAAUAGGUAUUUUUAAGCUACCUUAUACUCUACUUUUUGCUCCAUUGAUGAAUAAUACCACUAUGAUACCUGAGUGUGGUGACCCAAGGAACCUCCCCUAGAUGCUUGACACGUAUCAAACAUCUUGAAACUUCAAGAUGUUUGUCCGACGUGCCAUGUGACAUGUUCUUUUAUUCAAAAUUCUCACCAUCACAAGGGACAGUUCUCAAUGUGUCUCUCAACCUUAAUGGUGUCCGCCACACCAUAUGGUGUGUUUUUAUAUUUUCUAAUUUCCAACAUGGGUGGACAUGUCCUCCCAUGGGGUACCAUUUGUUCUAGCACAGGGCACCUUGCAGCAAUAAUCUACUUUGCUAGACUACCUUCUAUUUAUCCUCGAAUCAAUUUGAGAUGGAAAAACAAUUUAAGAAAGCUUUACAAUGGUAGAUUUGGAUGUAUUGAAAUUAGUAUGUUCAUUGAUUAAUGGAAGCACUAAAUUGCGAGUGCUCAUAUAGGGGCCAAACACCAGAAAGCUUGAUUCUAAACUUCGAAUAUGAUUUACCCAUAUAAUAGCUCAAGUAAGAAACUCCUCCACAAGAUUCUUUUACAAGUGAACGGUUGUGGUCAUUGACUCCUUGACAUGUCAAUUACAUGGUAAAACCUAAUUGUAAAUUUGAAAACAGAGAGAUAUAUUAAUAUCAAAAUAUUUAUGUGUCAGCAUAAUGUGAGAAAAACUAAAUAGACUUAAUGUUGAUUUUUUAUUUUUGGGUAUCUGCUACGUGCACGUUUUGAUAGAUAAUGAAUACUAUUUUAUCAACUCUAGUAAUACACAGUACAACCUGAAGUUAUCUUAAUGCAACAAAGUCACUCAAAUUCAGAAAUGAUGCCAAAACAAUGUAUUAAUCUUACUAAAAGGUAAAAGAAUUAUUAAAGUAAGUAUAUAAAAUAAAACUGUAUGAUUUUAAAGAAUUUCAUAAAUUUGUUUAUUGUCCUCCUUGAAAAUUUGUGUUUGUAUUCGUGCUUCAUGGCUGAAAUGUUUUUCUUCCUUGUACUAUCAAAUCUACCUACAGGCAUAUCUAUCGACUUUAAUAUAGUAUGGGGUGCGAAAGGCGCCACCAAUGUACUGUGAAAAGGACAAGCUACAUAACUCAGAUGAAGUUUACCAGCUUUAUGAGUGUAAUUACAUAUUCAUUCUUUUUAAAGUUGAUUGAUAACUAGCUCCUUUCGACUCUCUCACCGAUGAUUUUUCA